UUUGGUAAUUAAGAAAGCAUGUUGCAUAAUUGCGCAAUUAUACAUAAAAUUGGUGUCUCUUUGAUAAAAAUUAUAAAAUAUAUUGAUAUAUAUAUAAAACCUCCAUUCUUCUUUCUCAGUCUCUGUUAUCUGCUGAUCCAACAACUUCUCCAAACCCUAAAUUGAAGAAGAAAUAUUGGGUUUACUUGGUUGAAAUGAUGGGGAGUAAAGAAGGGUCUGUGAUGGUGAAGAAUUCCAAUGUAUUUGCGGCGCUUGAUACUCUGAGGAAGAAGAAGAAAUCUGAUAAGGAGAAGAGUAAAGGGUCGUCGAAGAAGGAACAGGAGCCGGAAGUUUUGUGGGCUCCGGCGCCGUNNNNN
rnacentral:lncRNA from 1 species